rnacentral:rRNA from 1 species
UGGGGAAUAUUGGACAAUGGGCGAAAGCCUGAUCCAGCCAUGCCGCGUGUGUGAAGAAGGUCUUCGGAUUGUAAAGCACUUUAAGUUGGGAGGAAGGGCAUUAACCUAAUACGUUAGUGUUUUGACGUUACCGACAGAAUAAGCACCGGCUAACUCUGUGCCAGCAGCCGCGGUAAUACAGAGGGGGCAAGCGUUAAUCGGAAUUACUGGGCGUAAAGCGCGCGUAGGUGGUUUGUUAAGUUGGAUGUGAAAUCCCCGGGCUCAACCUGGGAACUGCAUUCAAAACUGACUGACUAGAGUAUGGUAGAGGGUGGUGGAAUUUCCUGUGUAGCGGUGAAAUGCGUAGAUAUAGGAAGGAACACCAGUGGCGAAGGCGACCACCUGGACUAAUACUGACACUGAGGUGCGAAAGCGUGGGGAGCAAACA